rnacentral:rRNA from 1 species
CUACGGGUGGCACCAGUGAGGAAUAUUGCACAAUGGAGGAAACUCUGAUGCAGCAACGCCGCGUGGAGGAUGACGCAUUUCGGUGUGUAAACUCCUUUUAUAUGUCAAGAAAAUGACGGUAGCAUAUGAAUAAGCUCCGGCUAACUCCGUGCCAGCAGCCGCGGUAAUACGGAGGGAGCAAGCGUUACUCGGAAUCACUGGGCGUAAAGGACGCGUAGGCGGGAUAGAAAGUCAGGUGUGAAAUCCUAUGGCUCAACCAUAGAACUGCACUUGAAACUUCUAACCGAGAGUAUGGGAGGGGAAGAUGGAAUUAGUGGUGUAGGGGUAAAAUCCGUAGAUACCACUAGGAAUACCAAAAGCGAAGGCGAUCUUCUGGAACAAUACUGACGCUAAGGCGUGAAAGCGUGGGGAGCAAACAGGAUUAGAUACCCCUGUAGUC